CAGUGUUCAGCAUCACGCCCUAGCCGCUUCACCCCCGAGGAAAGAGUUCCCGGUAUCCUUUGGAUAGGAGGCUGGAUGGGCCGCAGAGCUGGUCUGGAAGCUGAGGAGAAGAAGGAAACCUGAUGUCACUACCCGGAGAUCGAACCCCGGCCAUCUGGCACGUAGCCCGUCGGUAUAUGGACUCAGUCUUCCCGGUUCCUAAUUGGAAAAGGGGGCGCAACUUGAGCUGACGGACAUCUGCCUUUGUUCCCCAUGCAGCACCGAAAUCUCACGCCCUGGGUCAACACAGGUGCACUACGUUGCGGAGCACCGUCGGCAGACCCGAAGAGAACAGAAGUCAGCAGUGGGAUAGACAGCCUCACAUUUGCCGGCUCGGCGUGGUCCUGGUGUCCCAACAGUGUGUAUUAAUUUGAGAGAUGAGGUAGUGGUAAGCCUGCUGCAGGUUGGGGAAUCUAGCCUCACAGUUCCAUUGUUUGCCGUAGCACUCUGGCUCUGUUCGUGCCACGCCUCCUGCUUCACGCUAAUUCCUGUAUUGGACGUAUCGGUGUUUGGCACUUGCUGACACUGCAUGCCCGGUUCCCUGUGACUCUUCGCCCCGCUGUUUGGACUGCAAACAGGAUUUGCCAGCCCACGUUGUUUUCUCUGCACACAGCAGCUGGACCCUGUCGGAUUAGUGCGUUCGAAUCCCUUGGUGGGUCGUCCGGCAAAUGAAGAUGACCGCCAGGCUAGAGUGGUACAUCUCCAGCCACAGAACAUGGCAGUAGCGCUUUAUGGCAACACGAAGAACUUGACAGAGAAGAAACAGUACAGAUUCGGCCGCUAAAGUCGUUCCAGGAUUAUUUACGUUGAUUUCAAAGUAAGAAUAAAAUGUAAACAAGUGAAGUUGUCCCUGUGCUUAAUUAAUUAAGCACUACGCCAUGAAGGCGUAUGGGGGAGUGGA